rfam:Curtobacterium sp. Leaf183 contig_5, whole genome shotgun sequence.
UGGGACACACACGGGAGUCCGGGAUCGCCGGGCUGAGAGGGAGCGAGCAGCGCUCCGACCGUCGAACCUGAUCCGGGUCAUGCCGGCGCAGGGAGGAGUCCACAUGCCUGUC